rnacentral:rRNA from 1 species
UACAGAGGUCUCGAGCGUUAGGCGGAAUCACUGGGCUUAAAGCGUGUGUAGGCGGAUCGGUAAGUACCUUGUGAAAUCCCACAGCUUAACUGUGGAACUGCUUGGUAUACUGCCAGUCUUGAGCCACUUAGGGGCUACCGGAACAAAUGGUGGAGCGGUGAAAUGCGUAGAUAUCAUUUGGAACGCCAAUGGUGAAAACAGGUAGCUGGGAGUGUGCUGACGCUGAGACACGGAAAGCCAGGGGAGGCAAAACGGG